rnacentral:rRNA from 1 species
ACUCAAAGGAAUAGACGGGGACUCGCACAAGCAGUGGAUUAUGUGGUUUAAUUCGACGAUAAACGAAGAACCUUACCAGGGUUAGAAAUCAACGUGAAAGCUCCCGGAAACGGGAGCCCUCGCAAGACUAGUUGACAGGUGUUGCAUGGCCGUCGUCAGUUCGUGGUUUGAAUUGUUCCCUUAAGUGGGGUAACGAACGCAACCCUCGUUGUGUGUUACAAGUGUCACACGAGACCGCCCCCGCCUUAGGCUUUGAAAGAAAUUUCGAAAGUUAAGGCGGGGGAGGAAGGAGAGGAUGACGCCAGGUCAGCAUGACCCUUGAUACCCUGGGCUACACACAUAAUACAAUGGCCAUUACAGCGCGCAGCGACGGAGCGAUCCUGAGCUAAUCGUCAAAAAUGGCCUCAGUUCGGAUUGGAGGCUGCAACUCGCCUCCAUGAAGCUGGAAUUGCUAGUAAUCACAGGUCAGCUAAACUGUGGUGAAUACGUUCUCGAGUCUUGUACACACCGCCCGU